UCUCUACUGAGUGUUGGGGAGGAUGGGGACAGACGCUGUUGUGGGACUGCAAACCACAGGUGGCUUUGGCAGUGUCUUAAAGAGUUAAGCGUACACAUGACCAGGCCACUCACUCCUAGGCUUCACCCAAGAGAAACACAAGCAUCUGUCGGAAGAUGCCGACUCAACGCUCACAGCAAUUUUCUCUAAGAGCCCCAAAGCAGACACACCCCAAGGGUUGGCCAAGGGAGUUGACAUGCACGUUGGUGCCACGGAUGGGGUAGGACCGUCGCCUGGGAGGAAUGUGGAUUGGUAAGCCCCACGGCACAGAUGACAAUUACGGAGGGAGGAAAGCCCGGCAGAGGUGCAGKCCCCCUGAUGGCACUGAGGACAGGGACACUGCGGGAGGCUCGCCCGGACACUGCGGGAGGCUCUCCCGGAUCCAGCGGGAGCAGGGUCAGGCCAGGGGGAGACCCACCAGAGCCCAGCCUAGUGGACCUGCUUAGGGGCGGGGCCUAACCUCUGAAGCCCCGCCCUACCGGCAGGCCACGCCCCCACCUGCAGAGGCUUGGUCCGUGAACUGCUGGCCCGCUUUGUCGGAAGCCCCGCCCUAGGACAGCCCAGAGCCACGCCCACAGCCCAGGCCCCGCCCUCCACCCGCCCACUCACGCGGUGCCUCGCAGGCCCCGCCCUCAUGGCCAGACCCCGCCCAGCCCCGCCCUCCCG
rnacentral:lncRNA from 1 species